GGCCUGUAUUUCUUAGAGCUGAGGCUCUCCUGAUACCAGAUAUAUCCAAACUGACUUUAGGCAAAGAUCUCACUGUGUACACACCUCACAAUGUGGCAAGACUUUCUUCUUCCAAAGGUCAGAAGACAGCCAAGGAAACAGCCAGUUCCUACUGGAGACCAAGCAGUCCCUGUACAGGGCCUUCACUGAUCUGCCUACCAAACAGGAAAAUAGAACAGACCUUUCAGACAUGAUCAGGAAAAAGAAGCUGCCAAUCUCCAAGCAGUCAUACAAAUGGAGCCAAUGACAAAUGUGCUAGACUUCUUUUACCAGGAUCUACCAGACUGACCUUGUAAAAAGUUCAUAACUGCUAAACUACAAUACAACUUCUGUGUCAGAAUCUGAAGUCCUCUGGACUUUCUCCUUGUCCUCUUUGUGUGAGGCUAUCACCAGUUUCUCCUGAUGGAAAUGCUUGUUGGCUAUAUUCAUAAAAAUCCUGCUGACAUUA
rnacentral:lncRNA from 1 species